rnacentral:tRNA from 1 species
AGCUCAGUUGGUAGAGCAUGGGACUCUUAAUCCCAGGGUUGUGGGUUCAAGGCUUAACCCUAU